rnacentral:lncRNA from 1 species
AGCGGCGGAACAUGUGUGUACUGGCCCGAGAGCAGAUUCGGGCGACCCAUGCCAUGGUCGGACUGUCAUCCAAGGAGGAGAAGACGGAAAACGAUGGGUCGGACAGCUCCAGCAACAAGUAGAUUCGGCUCGAUCCGUACGGUGUCUUUGACUGCUACUUCUGCAAAAGGGACGGCAAAGACACCAGGAAGGGCAAGGACGGCCGUGGAUGUACUUCUCCAUAGCUAGCAUGUAGAUUAAACAUGUCAAAUUUGGGUACUCCAAUGGUACUUUGAGAUGUAGUAGUUGAAUGAUAUGUGUAAUGCAUGGUUUACAUAGUUGCGCGAAUUCAUAUAAAUAUAAGGUAUGCUAGUUAAGAUAUCCGGUUGUGAGAAGAAAAAUAAUUGCAUGAAUUCAUAUAAAUAUAAGGUAUGCUCGUUAAGGUGUCCGGUUGUGAGAAAAAAAAAUAUGUGGAUAGAAAGUGACUAGGACGUACUCGGAUGCGUUUGUGGGCUUUUGACGGGCCGGAUUUAUCAAGUCCAGCUUUAAAUCCUCUCAGAUUACUGUGCAACUAAUAAUGUGAGCAGCAUGUAUGUAUCAUCUUCCUCGUCAGAACCACGUCACGGGAGAUGGACAUACAACAACUCACACCGUCACACGGAAUGCAUGCAUGCACCUGACUGCCAACUCCGCAACCACCCAUCAGCGAAGCCAACACGAUUCAAACGCUUAUAUACACGUGCAUAUAUUUACUUUUAUAAACGCACAUACGUAUACUAAUCAUAUUGUUGAUGAUGUUAUUGCCUUGUGUGGCAACGUGGUCUCUUCUCACUGUGCUCAUGCAUGACGCGCCACCGAACAGUACGUACCAACAUGUUUAAGUGUUUAGAACAUCUUUAAUAGAUGAUUUAAAUAUACAAGUACUACAUUUUACAUCAUUAAGGCAUAAAAACGAUGAUUCAACAGAUGAUGUAAAUGUAUGAAUUUUACAUCAUCUGAUCCAAGUGAUAUAAAAUACAACACUUGAAGAUGCAAUUUUGCACCUUCAACCGUUGGAGAUGUAAACACAGAUGCAAAAGGGCCAACCGUGCGCCCACCCAACCGCCACCAUGAAAGUUCCCAACUGCUGAUCUUUUUCGAAGUCCUUGCACAACAAAUUUAGGAAAAACGUACACAUUACAUUUCAUGUUUAGGAGUCCUCGCAUGCGACACCUGAUUUUGUUCAAACAUUUCGGCCGGAUGAGAUCGACUUUGAUCAUAAUUCACACUGAAGAUCAGAUUUCAUCGUCAAUUAAAGGUUAGUUCUCUUGGGCGGCUUAAAAAUUAAGAUGCCUCUCACUGGCUUAAAAAAUAAGUUGCCCUCUAAGUUUGUUGAGAUUUCUAAAUUAGUUAUCGCAUAACUAUUUUAGAAGCCUCAAUAAAAAAUAGAGGCGGCUUAUGAAAAAAGUUGAGGAGGGCCGGCUUAUUUUUUAAGCCGUCAAAAAAACUAACUAUAAUUAAUGAACAGUCCGUGACUUGUGGUCCUUGGAGCAAUAGAAUACCAGUGUGAUGAAUCACUAUUGGGCACGCCAAAAUUUUAGCAACGGCAGGUUCACCAGUAUUACCAUUUUGGCCAAUAGCUUUUAUACAGAUGAUUGAUUGUUGAAGUUUUGCUUGACAACAUUUUCGUUGGUUACUGGUCUAUAAUAUUAUCACAUCCAUGAUUAUUUUACGAUUGUGUCUAAACUUUAACAAUGCAAAAAUAACGUACAUUUAGUCGUGAAAUAAAUAAUAAUAAAGUAAAAAAGUUUAAUACAAAUGCAUUAGUAGGUUGGAAGUCUGCUUUAAACUGUCUCUUGUCUAGUGUGCGCAGUGACAGUCUUUGUCCCGGCCAGACGUGACUCCUCAAAAAAUAGAAGUCAUGACUAGUUUCAACUUUCAACUCCCCACCAACGAUAAAAUGUUGCGAAUUCUCGUCAUCAAGGACUGUAGAAAAGGGAAGGUUAGGCAUCUUCAACAUCGACCCUUAAAUUGUCUGCAUCUUUUGAACCAUGCGGACUAGAGCAUGGAAGUCAUCCAAUGUGCGUCUAUAUCGAUCCGUCAAGCGGUCUUGGACCUGUUUUUUCUCACACACCCGAGAUAAACGUGUGAGGGGAGGCUUUGUGGACGUCCGAACAGCAGCUAUGCCCUCUUCUGACCGCCCUGGGCCCACCAAAAAUCUCCUCACUCACCCGCAUGCGAUUCUGUCCGACGCUAGCUGCCCGCAUUAAUGCCGUUGUAGAGCGGUCGCUCCACAUUGAAACCAGUCCAGAGCGGAUACGACUUCUCACUAGCUCCACCAUUGAAACAACGCACUGACCGAGGGCAACUAUAAUCAACUUGUAUGCAUGCAAUGUUUGUUGCCAACUAAUUAAACUAUAAGCCCGCAAAAAAACUAAUUAAGAUAUAGCCCCAAAAUAAUGUCAUCUUUCUCUAUUUGGCAUCUUUCCAUGUGUUGCCAAAAUUUGGUGGCGAACUAUAGCCAAGGGCAAAACCGUCCUCUCACAUCUCACUUAACUCCUCCUACUGCUAACAUAAACUGAAGUGUCACAUAGGAAAAAAAUCAUCAAGCCACAAAAAACAUAAGAACAAUUGAAUAUUUAUAUACAAUAAAAAAGAUACAUGGACAUGUGAGGACAAAGGAAUAUUAAUGAAGAUAUAUAAAUAUUAUCAAAGAUGUAUAAAUUAGUACAUAAUGAGGUGAAGCAUGAAUGUAUAACAACAUGCUCCCGCUUACGUCUCCUUUUUACAUGUGAGGUAAGAAGGUAAGAGUUAAUAUGACCGUUAAUUAAUAAGAUCAACGAUUCUGAAUGUGAAAACCAUUAUAUACUCUUACCUCUAAUGUGAAAAGAGGGGGUAAGAGGGUGCAUGUUAAAAGGGCGUUGAAUGUGGAAACUAUUAUAUACUCUUACCUCUAAUGUGAAAAAAAGGGUAAGCGGAAGCAUGUUAAAACAGCUCUGAAUGUUUAUUUCUACAUACUGAUGCUCAAGAAAGUUCUAGUCUAACUAUUAACUUAAAUUAUGAGGGAAAUGUCUCGUGGAGAAGAAACAGGCUUGCCUUGAAUGACAUGAUGCUUCCUAGGAGGUGCAUUAAUUACAAAACCAAUUUCCAAACCAUCUGUGACAGGCCAAAGACCAUCAUCUUUCCCACAUUUUUUUUCGUAAUUCUUCUAGGGCUUUCUUGUUGCUUGAACCCCACUCCCAGAAUAUUCAUUUACAAACCAACUCGGCCCAGCUCUCUCCUGGGAUAUAUUUCGACAGCAUAUUUAUUUUGAAUAUAAAAAUUAUAUAAUGAGAAGGUUAUUGUCAUAUUAUAUCAUAAAAUCUUCAUUUCAUCACAUGUUACAUGCAACAGAAAGAUAAAGAAAUGUCCGCUCUAAGUAAAACAAGCAGCCUCUAACAAGCUCUCUUAGGCGGUUUACAACACCGAAACCGCCUCCAAUGAGCUAACAAACUAUUGGAUGUGGUCCAUGUAGAAUCCGCCUCCUAUUCCAAAGUAUUCUUAGGUGGUUUCAAUAUAUAAAAACCGCGUCCCAAAGUAUUAUAGGUGGUUCAAUAUAACCACCUUCGAUAUGUCCAGUGCCUACCUUAUAUAACCCAUACUUCUUCACGGAACUUUAUCCACUCGUAACUUUGUUUGACCCAAGUUGGUGCCUAAUGUCACUGUUUAUUCUGCACCGCCAUCUAGUUAUAAAAAUGUCGGCGGGCAUCUUGUCCGAUCCACGAGAGUGAGGGCGUGGCUAGGGGGCACAUGGGGUAGUUCAUCACCUUUGCCGUGGUAAUUUGCUUCUUAUUUCCAAUUGGUGACAUGAAGUCAAACUUGCGGUUGCCAACAAGUUAGUGCAACUAGUGAUGUGCAUUGUCCAAUGGAUCCCUCCGUACUUUAAUCUAGCUACUAGCUAGAUCCGAAUUCCUUGUUGGAGUUGUCGUACGGACGCAUGAACAGGAGUGUAGGUUCGCAUCUUUAUUCUUCGGAUCGAGUCGAGAGCGGGCCGAUGGCACCUAAGAUGGUUGUAUCUGGUGCACCGAGGCAAUUGGUGCUACCGAUGCACCGGACCUCGUUGCACACUUUAAAAUGUCUGAAAAAUUCAAAAAGAAAUUAAUGCAUUGACACAACAUUAAUGUAUAUUGUCACAAAAAUUUAUAUCAAAAUUUGAAACAUUGAUUGAGAUAUAAAAAUGAUAAACUCAAUACUGAAUACUCAAGUAGUAGAUAACACAAGUUGGGCUUCAGAUUUGACACGUUAGCACAUUGAUGCCGAAUUUUUCAUUUUUAUAUCUCGAGCAAUAUUUUGAAUUUUGAUUUGAUUCANNNNNNNNNNNNNNNNNNNNNNNNNNNNNNNNNNNNNNNNNNNNNNNNNNNNNNNNNNNNNNNNNNNNNNNNNNNNNNNNNNNNNNNNNNAUUGUGUUAAUGUACUAAAAAAAUUCUUAAAUUUUUUCGAACAUUUGUGCACCGGUAGCACCAAUAGCCCCGGUGCACCAUAUAUAUCCCCUGUAACUGGUUGCCUUAAUUCCUGUUGGUCAAAGCAAACAAGCAAGCAACAAAGUUCCAUAAAUGUGAUUAGAUGGACAACAACAACUGAAAUGGACUCGUGCUCAUGGCACCAACCGUGAAAGAGUUGUGGAUGUGCGUCCGUUGAGUCUUUCAGUCUGAUCUGGUCUAUUUUUAAGUCUAGAGCUAACAGUUAAUAAAGAGAACAAAGCAAGAAAGAGAGAUUUGCUUUGCCUUUUUCACUUGUGUCGGCACAACCUUCAACCCCCUCUUUCAACCGUCCAUUGAUUCAUUGCCAACACCUCCACACAAAAAAAACGUAGAUGAGUGAAGUGCUCUUUUGAUCCCAAGCACACAUGCCCCUUGAUAAACAGUAAAAUACAGAAAAUAGUUGAAAUUCCAAAAGAAAAAAUCUGAAAUAUGGAUUUUAUUUUUAAUUUUUUUAAAAAGGUUCAUCUGCCGAAAAUUGCUCGGAAAUUUCAAAAACUAUUCGUGCUUUCGAAAAACAUUCCAAACUGCAAAAGGCGUUCAUGAUUUCAGAAAUUUUUCACAAAAAUAUGUUUCAGUCCUUUAAAAAUGUAAUUAUGUUUCAGCACGCAAUGUCUUUGUUCAAAAAUUUCAUAACUAUUUCAAAAAUGUUCUGGAUUUCAAAAAAUGAUUAUGUUUUACAUAAUUGUUCACAAAUUGAAAACAUGUUCAUAAAUUCCAAAAAAUGUUCACGUUUUCUCAUUCUUUAGGUGUUUCAAAAAAUACUCUAGUUCGAAAUUGUAAACAAUAUACGUGUUUUUUAAUUUUGUUUGAAAGAUUCAAAAUAUGUUCAAGUUUCCAAUUUUUGUUCUUAAAUUUCGAAACAUAUUCCCGUUUCAAACAAAAUGGUCAUUAUUUGUAAAAAUAAUAAUUAUGUUUGUCGAAAAUAUUACUGCUUUUUAAAAUUUGGUCACAGAUUGAAAAGUUGUUCACAGAUUCCAAAACAUGUUCAUGUUCUCUUAUUCUUUAGGUACUUCAAAAAAUGUUCUAGUUAAAAACUUUUUCAAAAUUUAUAAAAAUAUUCAUGUUUUUAAAUUUAGUUUAGAAGUUUCAAAAUAAGUUUUAAUUUCCAACUUUCGUUCAGGAAUUUUAAAAAACAAUCACGUUCCAAUAAAAUUGGUCAUUGUUUUUCUAAUGAAUUCAAAAUGUUUUGUUAAAAAGUUCUACAUAAAAAAUGUUCGCGGAUUUUUAAAAACGAUUAUAUGUUAUAAAAUAUGUUUAUGUUUUGAAAACAUUUGUUUGUGUUUUCAAAUAAUGUUCAAUUUCCAACAAAAAUGUUGGGAAUUUAAAAAACAUUAAAAAAAUCUAUUGUUUUUACGUUUUCAUAAAAAUGUUCAUAUUUUAUAAUUUGAUAUAAUCUUUAAGAAAGCUUGUAUUUUCAGAAUAUAUUCGUGAAUUUCAAAAAAUGUUUGACGCUUUUCAAAAAUUGUUUACUAUUAUUUCCCAAAUUUAAAAACAAGAACUUUAUUUUUAAACAUUGUUUCUAUAACAGAAAUGACCUUAUUUCGAAAAGUUUGAAUUUUCAGGUUUGUUCGAUUUGUUCAAACAAUUCUCAGAUUUUGAAUUGCUUGCUAGUUGCUUAUGCCAUUAAUAUGAGUUAAUAUAUAUUUUGAUAGUUAUUGUUGACAUGGUUACUUAUAAUCCUUGCUGGAAACUUGGGUGCUACUUAAGCUUAUUUAUGUAAACAAGAGCAAAAGAGUUUGUAAAAGUUUUUAUUUUUCACUUUCAAUUUAUCAACUGAAUUGCUUGAGGACAAGCAAAGAUUUAAACUUCGGGGAGUUGAUAUGUCUCCGUCGUAUCUACCUUUUCUGACGCUUUUACUCUUGUUUUGGACUCUAAUUUGCAUGAUUUAAUGAAACUAACCCGGACUUACGUUGUUUUCAGCAGAACUACCAAGGUGUUGUUUUUGUGCAGAAAUAAAAGUUCUCGGAAUGGAACGAUACUUUUUGGAGAAUUUUUAUACAAUAAAAGAAGAAUACUAGAGCCAAGAACCAUCGGAGGGGGUCCCAGGGGGAGCACAACCCACCAGGGUGCCCCCCUCCUGGCGCGCCUAGGUGGGUUGUGCCCACCUGGUGGCCCCGCUGACCUUAUCUCUGACGCUAUAAAAUCAUAUUUUCAAAGAAAAAAGCGAGGAGGAAGAAUUAUCUUGUUUCGCGAUACGGAGCCAUCGCCACCUCAUGUUCUUCAUCGGGAGGCGAGAUCUUGAGUUCGUUUGGGGCUCCGGAGAGGGGAAUCUUCGGUCUUCGUCAUCACCAACCCUCCUUCGCUAACUCCAUGAUGCUCCCCACUGGGAGUUGAAAGGAUCGAUAUGGUUGACUAGAGGGGGGGGUGAAUAGGCAACGACCACUUUUUAAAUAAUCUUAGCAAGUUAGGGUAAACAACAUACGGGUUCACAAAUAUAACAACAAUGGGGUGAACCGUAAUGAAGCUAACAACGAGAGCUACUAAGACAAGUAAGAGAUAGACAACAACAUAAGCAUUCACAAAGUAAAGGUUAGAGAUAACCACAAGUGGAACCAAUGAAGAUGAGGAUAUGUUACCGAAGUUCCUUCCCUUUGACAGGAAGUACGUCUCCGUUGGAGCGGUGUGGAGGCACAAUGCUCCCCAAUAAGCCACUAAGGCCACUGUAUUCUCCUCACGCCCUCGCACGAUGCAAGGUACCGUGAUUCCACUAUAGGUGCCCUUGAAGGCGGCGACCGAACCUUUACAAACGAGGUUGGGGCAAACUCCACAUAAAGCUUGGAGGCUCCCAACAAGACCACGAAGCUUCACCACAAUGGAAUGUGGCUUCGAGGUGACCUCAACCGUCUAGGAUGCUCAAACACCCAAGAGUAACAAGAUCCGCAAGGGAUUGGUGGGGGAAUCAACUUUUCUCUUGGUGGAAGUGUAGAUCUAGGCCUUCUCAACCAAUCCCUAAAGAAUCAACUAGAUUGAUUGGCUAGGGAGAGAGAUCGGGCACUUUUGAGCUUAGGGAGCAACAAUGGAGCUUGGGAGGAUAAGAGAUAGGGUUCCACAGCUAGAAGAACCCCUUAUAUAGUGGGGGGAAUCCAACCGUUUUCCCACUCACAGCCCGUGCCUGGUGGUACUACCGCUGGAUGCAGCGGUACUACCGCUAGCACUCCAGCGGUACUACCCCUAGCUGCAGCGGUACUACCGCUGGGCCCAUGGUAGUGCAUAAGCACUACCGGGCCAACCACCGCCAAGAAAGUCUUCGCAAAAAGGUCCGUCCAAGUACAACCGCUAGGAAGGCGGUACUAAGCUCCUGGAGCGGUACUACCGCUGACCAGGGGCGGUACUACCGCCAGCUAGCGGUACUACCGCUAGCACUCCAGCGGUACUACCGCUAGGGCCAGCGGUACUACCGCUGAGGGACCAUUUGCAAAGAAGAGAGAAACACAAGGCGGGAGCCACUCCAAAGUUGCCGGCAAGGGGGAAAGGAGGUGAAGUGUGCGCGUGCAGGAUUGAUUCCACCCAAACCUUUCCACUACGGUUCCCCUCUUAAUAGCACGGCUUUCCUAUGACUCAAAUAAAGAGAAUCAUAGAGUACACCAUGCUUCUAUUCCAUGAAAGAGGGGGCGAGUCGUCUUGUGCCGUUGACGUGUGUUAUCUGAAAUCGUAACACACACGGUUAGUCCUUUGCGGUACUGUCAUCAAUCACCAAAAUUACUUAAGCAUAAACUAUGCCCUAACAAUCUCCCCCUUUUUGGUGGAUUGAUGACAAUACCGGAUUUGCACAGUGAAUAACAUGUGAACAAAAAGGUAGAGAUAUAUGAAAAUAAGGAGCAUAUGACUCACAGCAUAUGAUGGAAAUAAAUCUCACACUAGUUCAUGUCUCACAUCACACAAAGCAAAGAUAGCAAAAUAGAAGCAAACCAAGUUCGAAGCAAACACGAAAGAUAAGCAAAGUUCAACUCUCAAAUCAAAAUCAAAUCCAGCUCCUAGACUCUCUCUCCCCCUUUGGCACAAGACACCAAAAAGGGGUACACCUAACGACACAGGUGGUCACUCCUCAUCCUCAUCAUCCCCAGACUCGUCCGUAGCAUCCGGAUUGUCCUGCUCCUCUUCAUUGUCCUCCUCCUCCUCUGCAUCAGACCACUGGUAACCUUGAGCCUGCAUCCAAGCAGACUCUGGAGUGAUGUCGUCCUUUGAUCCGCUGGAGAUGUCAACAUCAAGUGUCCUCACGACACGCUUGUGCCUCUGACGGUUCUCUUCUGGGCCACGUGCGUGUGAUAUUGUCCCUUAGUCUGCAUACAGAAGAGAGUCUUCAUCUUAUCCUACAGUUUCACGGCCCAAGAUGGCAUGGCAGAAGAGCGGGACUGAGAAGCGGUUCCUGUGUCAGCAGCAGUCUCUGUGUCAGUGUCCAUGUGAUGUGAUGAAGUUGAUGGGUUGGCCCAUUUGUCCUUGAUGCGGAGCUUGAUAGGAUCGUGCACAAAGUAAUCAGCCUGAAGGUGGAACUCCUCAAGCGGAUAGGUGUCUUGCCACUUCUGACGAAUAUAGGCAAACAAGUAGGGCCCGUAGAUGGAAACCUUGCGCAUCAUGAUGCAAUUCCAGAGCUCAGUGAACAUCACAUCAGAAAUAUCAAGAGGGGCAGACUCCUUAGUCAUAGCCUCCUCACAAAGCAGAAGCAUCUCAGCCAGAGAGCCGUGUACCUCGUCGAAGUUGCCAAUGCGAGGAAAGAGGGUGUUGCGGAAGAUCCGAUGCAUGAUAUCCAGAUGCCUGGGGAGCACACCUUUCUUCACAUAGAGUUGCUACAACCUGUCCUUGGCGGGGCCCUAUCAGUGGGAGCUGCAGCAUGAGGACGCGACCCAAGUGGAGUGUCAGCUCCCUCAAAAUCAAUCUUGAGAAAUGCCAUGAAUUCACGCCAGGAACCUGUCAUCUUCUCAGUCCCAGUCAUCCAAACCAGGGAGCGGUCGUCAUCAGGCGAGAAGUGAACCGUGACAUAGAACUGGGCAACAACAUCUGGAUCAAAGUCUUUCUUGAAGGAGAUGAUCUCCUUAAUGCCCAGCUUGUCAAUCAGAGAGAGAACAUCACCGAAGUAAUCCAGGUUCUGCUGAAGGUGAGCCAAGUCAAUGCACUCAACGGGAACAAAACUCUUCUUGGAAUGCUUGAUGAUGUCACGAUAGAUCCUGCAGUGAUCCGUUGCCCAAACAUGCUCGACAUUCCUGAUCACAGCCGUCUCUUGGAGAUAGUGAUUUUGGUUGCGGAACCGCAGAAAAUCCUUAGGGGGCAUAGUGCGAACGUUGACCCCCUUGUCCUUGUGAGCGGCCUUCUUGAAGGCCUUCUUUUUGGGUUGCAGACCUGAAGUGGCGGAGCCCUCUGGAGCCUCUGGAUUGCGAUAAUUCUUUGACCGUGUGUCCUGUGGGGGGUUCGAGCGGCGAGCACCACCUGUGACACAAAACACACACCGAAAAAGAGCGACAGAAGGAGUCAAGGCAAUGAACAAGAAGAGGCAUAAGAGUAAACACUCAUUGCCAAGCAAAUGAAAAGAAGAAACAGAGUAUCCUCCUGGCGGUAGUACCGCUACCCCUGGUGGUAGUACCGCUACACUCAUUGCCAAACAAACGCGUGAUGCUCACAAUAAUUCCAAAUCUGUUGACGGGCGGAUACUCCCCUUUUUAAACUGCCAAGUACAUUCUUCAUAAGAUGUGACUUGACUCUCAGCUUGUUCACAAUCUUGGCUGCUCGACGCUCCAAGAGUUCUUCAUUGGAUAACUGGGGAGCAUCGACUUGUUUACUUUGCUUGCCCUUGCGUCUUGAGCCUCCCUUGGCACCGGCUGUUGGUGCUGCAGAAGGGAAUUGUGAGACAGUAUCCUGAUCAUCUUGACUUUCGAAUUGAGCAGGUUCACUUGUUUGUCCUUGUACUUGUGGUUGCUCUUGAUCUUGAUCUUGUGCUUCUACUUGGUCUGGAUCUCGUGGUUGCACUUGAUCUUGAUCAUGAGCAGGUUCGGAGCCUUGGGUGAGUGCUUGAAUAUCAUGGGACACAUCAUCAUUGUUGGGCAAUUUAUCUUGACCUUGAGCUUGUUCAUUUUGUUGAGAGUCUUCUCUUUGUUCAUCGGAAGCAUGUGGGGCUUGUGGGGGUGAUGGCUCCAUUUGAGUAGAGCAUUGUCCUUCUCCUUCGUCCACAAGGGGUUCCUCAAUGGGGAGUAUUUGACCAAUCCCCAUUCUUCUUAUGGCUUGGGGAGGAAUUUCAUCACCUACAUCACAAAGACCACUUUGCUCCACUUGGGAGCCAUUAUUUUCAUCAAACUCCACGUUACACGUCUCCUCAAUGAGUCCGGUGGACUUGUUGAGGACACGGUAAGCAUGAGAGUUUGUAGCAUAACCAACAAAGAUGCCCUCAUGUGCUCUAGAAUCAAAUUUAGCUAAACGUGCACCUUUCUUGAGAAUGAAACACUUACAGCCGAAUACCCGGAAGUACUUGAGAUUGGGUUUGUUUCCAGUUAGAAUCUCAUAUGGAGUCUUGUUCAAGCUUUUGCGGAUAUAGAGCCGACUGGACGCAUGACAUGCUGUGUUGAUGGCCUCUGCCCAAAAGUUAUAUAGAGAUUUGAAUUCCGCCAUCAUUGUUCUUGCAGCGUCUAUCAAUGUCUGGUUCUUCCUUUCUGCCACGCCGUUUUUUUGAGGGGUAUAUGGUGCUGAAUAUUGAUGUUUUAUUCCCUCAUCACCUAGAAACUCAUCCAAGGUGUAGUUCUUGAACUCGGUGCCGUUGUCACUUCUAAUCAUCAAGAUCUUUGCUUUAUGUUGGCGUUGAGCUUCAUUAGCAAAGUUGAUGACAGUUUGUUGAGUUUCACUCUUCCUUUUGAAGAAAUAUACCCAGGUGUAUCUCGAGUAGUCGUCAACAAUCACCAAGCAGUACUUUCUGCCUCCAAGACUAUCAAAUGAUGGAGGGCCGAAAAGAUCCAUAUGGAGGAGCUCCAAUGGCCUCUUAGUGUAGAUGAGAGUCGUUGGAUGAUGAGCGGUUUCAUGAAUCUUUCCUUCAAUGCAGGCACUGCAAGCACGAUCUUUAGCAAAACUCACAUUUGUUAGUCCACGAAUAUGGUCCCCUGUUAGAAGACUUUGCAAAGAUCUCAUAUUGACAUGAGCUAAUCGGCGAUGCCAAAGCCAGCCCACAUCAACUUUAGCCAUUAAACACGUCGCGGUCUUAGUGGGUCGCUUUGAAAAGUUCACCACAUAAAGACCAUUUUCGACAUAUCCAACAUAGGCUACUUUAAGAGUCUUGCUCCACAGUAUCAAGAUUAAAGAAUGUGGAAAAACCCAUAAUUGCAAGUUGACGAACCGAAAGUAAAUUGUAGGCAAGUGACUCAACAAGCAUGACCUUCUCAAUAGAUAACUCUUGAGAGACGACCACCUUACCAAAUCCCAAUACCUUUGACGAGGAUGCAUCGGCGAAUUGGACAUGGGUGGGCAUAGAUGGAGAAGGAUGCACAUCCACCACUAAGUCCUUGCUUCCGGUCAUAUGAUUUGUUGCUCCACUAUUGAGCAACCAUGACACCCCACCGGAAGUAAACUCCUGCAAUAGAUCAAGGCUUGGUUUUAGGUACCCAUUUUUUAAUGGGUCCUUUCAUGUUAGAGACAAGGGUCUUAGGAACCGAGAUAGCCCACUCAAUGUACUCAUAGUAGGAACCAACUAAUCUGGCAUAAACAUGCCCAUCACUAGCACGACAUAAGACAUAAGAAGAAUUGAGUUUGUCGGCUAUGUUAGUAGGAAUGGUUUUGCCCUUCUUGACGUUUCCAUCGUCCACCUUGUUCAUGUUCACCUCCUGAGUCCCCUCACCCUCUUUGACAAAGAUGUCCAUGAGGGUAGGAGAUCGUUUGUUCCUGUUCCUCCUUUUACCUUUUGACUUGGAGGUAAGUCCAAGUCCCUCCUUUCCUACAACACCUUUUUGAGUGCUCAAGAGGUCGUUCAGGCUCUUCUCACCUUGUAUGCAUGCCACAAGGCCCUUCUCAAGUUUCUCCUUUAACUUGGCAUUUUCUUCCACAAGAUGUACAUGCUCACAACAGGGAUUAGUUGCACAAGCAUUAUCAAUUAACACAAAGGGAGGACAAGUAGAGAUCUCCUUGGUAAGCUUUGCUUGGAGUUGAUCAUGAGACUCUUUCAGAGAGAAAUGAACACCUUUCAAGACCUUGUGGGCCUUGUCAAGUGUGUCAAACUCCACUUUGAGUCUGUCAUGGCCAACCCCAAGAGCAUACUUUUCAGACUUAAGCAUACGAGUAAGAACAGUAUCAUGAUCUAGUUUCUUUUGCAUUUUAGCGUAGUCAUCGUUAUAUGACUCCUCAAGAACCAAACGAAGAGUCCGCUCCUUUUCUAGAGCAAUAGAUAAUUCAGAAAUUUCAUCGGCAUAGUCACGACUGUGUCCCUGAAGCUCGGAGAUGAUCUCCUCAUGAGACUCAAUGAGGUCAUUGGCCUCACCUAGUUGUUCCAAGAGAGCAACAAAGUGCUUCUUGGAUUCUCCCUUAAUAGUGCACAGAAACUUGUCAAGAUCAUGCUCAUUAAGUUCCCCAACAUCACUAUCAUCAACACAAUUUAACAAUGAAGGAGCAGUAGCGAUGUUGGUCUUAAUGAUGGGGGUUACCUGAUUGAUACCUUUUGCCAUGAGGCACUUGGUGAUGUGGUUCUCAUUGGGGGCGUUGAAGAGAGACACCUUCUGGGGAGAGGUAGUGGCAAUAGCAACAGUUGCCGUUGCCACUGUAUCAUCAUCAUCAUCAUCAUCGGAAGGGUACUCUUCAAGGGCCACCAUCCCUUUUGGGUGGGGUUUCUUCACAAAGUUGUUCUUGAUUGGAAAUGAUUUGGUUUUGUCUUUGCGAAUGAGCUUGCCCCCGUUGUCUUCCCUUUUCUCAUAGGGACAUUCGGCCACGAAGUGGCUCACGUUACCACAGUUAUAACAUGUUCUCACUCAUUCCUUGGGUUUGAACCCACUUGAGUUGUUCUUGGUGAAGGUGGGUCUUGAGUUCCUCUUGUUGCCCCAGAAUUGCCUUGACGCAAGAGCCAUGUGCUGAUGAUAGGCAUACUUUGUGUCUUCAGGGCAGCUCUCCUCUUCCUAAUCCUCUUCUUCUUCUUCAAACAUUGCUUUUGCUUUUAACGCAAGGUUGGGUGAAGUUGUCUUUGAGCGAACACGAGCAAGUGCAUUGUCAGCUGUUUCGUUCAUGAUUGAUAUUGCAAUAAAUUCAUCCAACACCUCACUGGAAGACAAGGAGUGGAAGUCUGGUCGCUGACGAAUGACAGAUGACAUGGCUUUGUUGAAAGGCAUGAUGGCUUUGAGAAACUUGCGCUUGACCCAUGUAUCAUCCACAUCCUUGCUCCCAUGAUCCUUGAGUGCCACAGCAAUAGCAGUCAUCCUCCGAUAGAGAUCACGAGGGUCCUCGUCUUCCUUCAUCACAAACUCAUCGGCCUUAUCAAGUAUCACUUCAUAGUUGGAUCGUUGAAUGCUUGAGCUUCCCUUGUACAACAAUCCUUGGCCAAAGUGAAGGGACGCAAGUGAGGAAGAUCUUCAGGUGGCACUGCGGACUGGAGAAUGAACAAAGCAGAGUGAUUGUAUUGAUUGUCUGCAUCUUCUCUUGGAGUGAGGUUGCUUGGAUCAUGGGGAUAAUAUCCUUGCUCGAUGAUUCUCCACAAAUUUGUUGAGAUGUGAUUCAAAUGAGACUUAAUAGAAAAUACCCAGUUAGCAAAGUCACCUUUCACAAGCUUAGGAGGAGGACCAACAGGGUUAAGACACGGUGUGGGAACGGAUCCUCCAUAGACCAUGGGGGGUGGAACUGAGGCAUAGGUUCCAGUCCCAUCCUUUUCGUGAGAUGAAGAAGGUCGCAUACCUUUAGCCGCUUCCUUAGAGGAAUUGGCCUCCGAAUCGGUGAUGGUGGGUUUAACCACUAACGCCGGUUCGGGUGGACUUUUAAAUCCCUCAAUUAACUCUUUAAGCAUGGUCUUGACUUCGUUCGUCAAGGACGUCUUGAGGGCGGCCAUAGCCGUAUUCAAGUCGUCCCUUGUGACCGAAGUCAAGUCCAUGGCCUCGGGUUGCCCAUGGGUAAUCCCCUCUUCGCCUUCCAUACUCUUCGGGUGGUGAAACCCUUAAUAAAGAGAUGUGGCUCUGAUACCAAUUGAAAGGAUCGAUAUGGUUGACUAGAGGGGGGUGAAUAGGCAACGACCACUUUUUAAAUAAUCUUAGCAAGUUAGGGUAAACAACAUGCGGGUUCACAAAUAUAACGACAAUGGGGUGAACCGUAAUGAAGCUAACAACGAGAGCUACUAAGACAAGUAAGAGAUAGACAACAACAUAAGCAUUCACAAAGGAAAGGUUAGAGAUAACCACAAGUGGAACCAAUGAAGACGAGGAUGUGUUACCGAAGUUCCUUCCCUUUGAUAGGAAGUACGUCUCCGUUGGAGCGGUGUGGAGGCACAAUGCUCCCAAAUAAGCCACUAAGGACAUCGUAUUCUCCUCACGCCCUCGCACGAUGCAAGGUACCGUGAUUCCACUAUAGGUGCCCUUGAAGGCGGCGACCGAACCUUUACAAACGAGGUUGGGGCAAACUCCACACAAAGCUUGGAGGCUCCCAACAAGACCACGAAGCUUCACCACAAUGGAAUGUGGCUUCGAGGUGACCUCAACCGUCUAGGAUGCUCAAACACCCAAGAGUAACAAUAUCCGCAAGGGAUUGGUGGGGGAAUCAACUUUUCUCUUGGUGGAAGUGUAGAUCUAAGCCUUCUCAACCAAUCCCUAAAGAAUCAACAAGAUUGAUUGGCUAGGGAGAGAGAUCGGACACUUUUGAGCUUAGGGAGCAACAAUGGAGCUUGGGAGGAUAAGAGAUAGGGUUCCACAGCUAGAAGAACCCCUUAUAUAGUGGGGGGGAAUCCAACCGUUUUGCCACUCACAGCCCGUGCCUGGCGGUACUACCGCUGGAUGCAGCGGUACUACCGCUAGCACUCCAGUGGUACUACCGUUGGCUGCAGCGGUACUACCGCUGGGCCCAUGGUAGUGCAUAAGCACUACCGGGACAACCACCACCAAGAAAGUCUUCGCAAAAAGGUCCGUCCAAGUACAACCGCUAGGAAGGCGGUACUAAGCUCCUGGAGCGGUACUACCGCUGACCAGGGGCGGUACUACCGCCAGCUAGCGGUACUACCGCUAGCACUCCAGCGGUACUACCGCUGAGGGACCAUUUGCAAAGAAGAGAGAAACACAAGGCGGGAGCCACUCCAAAGUUGCCGGCAAGGGGCAAAGGAGGUGAAGUGUGCGCGUGCAGGAUUGAUUCCACCCAAACCUUUCCACUACGGUUCCCCUCUUAAUAGUACGGCUUUCCUAUGACUCAAAUAAAGAGAAUCGUAGAGUACACCGUGCUUCUGUACCAUGAAAGAGGGGGCGAGUCGUCUUGUGUCGUUGACGUGUGUUAUCUGAAAUCUUAACACACACGGUUAGUCCUUUGCGGUACUGUCAUCAAUCACCAAAAGCAAGAGAGACGGAGAGGUAGAAGAGUUCUCCGGCAGGAGUGAGUAAUUCCUUCGUAGGCUCGCUGGUCAGUGAGGAGUUGGAUGAGAUUCAUCAUGUAAUCGAGUUAGUUUUGUUAGGGCUUGAUCCCUAGUAUACAUCAUGUUCUGAGAUUGAUGUUGCUAUGACUUUGCCAUGCUUAAUGCUUGUCACUUUGGGCCUGGGUGUCAUGAUUUCAGAUCUGAACCAUUUAUGUUAUCAUCAUUAUAUCUAUAUUCUAGAUCCGAUCUUGUAAGGUAUAGUCACCUUUUACGUGUUAUGAUCCAUAAACCCACGAGUGACAGUAUUCGGGAUACUUUCCGAUGAUGACCGUAGUUUGAGGAGUUCAUGUAUUCACUAGUGCUAAUGCUUUGUUUCGGUUCUCUAUUAAAAGGAGGCAUUAAUAUCCCUUAGUUUCUUAUGGACUUCACUGCCACGGGAGGAUAGGACAAAAUAUGGUAUACAAGUUCUUUCCAUAAGCAUGUAUGACUAUUUACGAAAUACGGGCCUACAUUAUAUUUAUGAACUUAAGCUAGUUUUGCAUCGCCCUAGGUUAUGACUGUCAUAUGAUGAAUAUCAUCCAACGAAUCCACCGAUCCAAUGCCUACGAAUUUCCUACAUACUGUUCUUACUAAGUUACUAUUGUUGAUGCUACUGUUACAACUGCUACAAAAUCAUUGCUAUCAUUGUUACCGUUACUGCUACUAUCAUCACUACUAUCAAAACUAUCAUAUUACGGUGCUGCUGAUAACUUUGCUGCAGAUUUUCAAUCUCCGGGUGUGGAUGAAAUGACAACUCAGUUGCUAAUACUUGCAAAUAUUCUUUGGCUUCCCUUGUGCCGAAUCUAUAAAUUUAGGUUGAAUACUCUACCCUCGAAAACUGUUGCGAUCCCCUAUACUUGUGCGUUAUUAUGGGGGCACGGUCACUUGUUUUGACCCAAUGUAGUGUUUACUAAGUUGGGCUUGGUUGACGAUCAAUUUAAUACCAUUUAGCACCCGUGUGGCCCUGGGCUAUUUGCACGCUUAAAUUCGUCGUACUGCACCUAUUUGGUUGAACAACGUCGCAUACUUUCCAAUUCGCAUCAACGUCGCACAGGAGCUAUUGGCCCCUUCGUGUUUCUAUCCAUUUCGACCGCGCCUCAACUGUUUAUUGCAGGUAGAGUCUAUGUAGCUAGCCAAGCUUGACCGGAAGGGCGAGGGAAGCAGAAGGUGGCGAGGCGUGGUGCGUGUAUGUAUAGGCUGCUUUGCUUUGCUGUAGUAUAAUGAACUUGCCUGCAUGUCCAUUUUUUUAAACACAGUACAACUCAUAUAAACGUGCAUGCAUUCACUUCUAUGAACGCAUACACGCAUAUCUUAUCUCUAUGAGCACCUCAGAGAGAUUGAGCCGGCAUAUCAUCUUGAUAUUUACGAAGUCAUCGUAAGUGCCUCGUCGUCGACGAAAACGUCCCCUUCCACUGAAUGUGCAUCGUCGAAAUUUUCGAAAUAAAUUUAGGAAAAUAAUACGAGCAUCAGGAUUUAAACCCUGAUGAACUGAGGCUGUCACUGUCAUGACCAUCCAACCACAUGUUGAUUCGCCUGCCUGCCCCUGUUUGUUACCAACUAAUGACCCCUAUAGCCAAGACCAAAACCGUCUUCUCACAUCGUUACCAACUAACAACAUACACGGAAGUGUCACAUAUGAAGAAAUCAUCAAGCCAAAAGGAACAUAAGAACAGUUGAGUAUUUAUAUACAAUAAAAUGAUACAUAGAGCAUACAAUAAUAUGUUUUAUUUUGUGGACAUAUUGUUUGUGUUGAAGUUAGGCAUUUUCAAUCAUUUGCUAUUAUUUAUGCGAUCAAUGAAUUUUCAGCAACUUAGUAGAUAUAGUUCAAUCCGAUGUACAUAUAUGUAAAAAAAAAGUCUAUGAAUUAAACAAAAACAUAUUUCGGUAAUCAUGUUAAGAGAAUGUUUUGUUCGGAAAACAUGUAAACAAUUCAAAUUUUUCUUGAAAAUUCAAACCUCUACAUGCACUCUAUUGGUUUAUUAUUUUUGGUAUAUGGUCUAAAACAUAUAAAAAUUAGCAUGAGGUCGUGUUUUGACCUCAUAAGAGUGUGUUCAAAUUUAGACUACAACUUUUCUAAAAAAAGUAUGCACAAACAUGCAUUCAUCAUUAUAUAUUUAUUUAUAUAUAUUUAUUAAUAUUCAUUUGUUCUCACAUGUCAAUAUAAUGUCCUAUCCACAUUGGUGCUUGGUGUCACUGUUCAUUGUACACCCCCGUCUAGUUGCGAUCUUAUCCGGCCUAGUAGUAGCCAUAAGCAGGAGUCCAUUCCGAGUGAGAGUUGUGGUUAUUUCCCAGGCCCAAGCCCGGCCCAAAGUACACAACGGGCGGAAAAUACGAUCAUGAGCCCGGUCUGAACACAAAGCCCUACCUGGUUCAGGUUUUUCGGGCCGUGGAGUCGGCCAAGAGGAAGGACCGGAGGCACGCGCGGGAUGCAAGGGGCGAGGCAGCUGCCGUCACCGCUAUCGCCGCCGCCGCGUAGCAAGAAGACACCAAUGCCUGGGUGAAGGCGACAACGAGGGAAGCCUUGUUGUACCUAGGGGUAAACCCUAGCCAGCACGGGCUUGUCGCCGUUGUUAUCGCGGUCACGGCCAGCACGGGCUUGUCAGCAUAUCCUCGGAUGAUGCUGCCGGAGUCACCGCACGCGGCCGAUUCCCGGCUUCCACGUCUAAACGUAAGGCGGCUGCUUCUCCAGGGAAUGCUUGCCGAAGGUGAGCAUCGUGGCCCCCCUCCACAUCGGUGCCGGUGACCAUCGACCUCAAUGCCACGCCGGUGGCAGGCGAGUCAUCGUUCGGAGGCAUGAGAAAACGGCAUGGUGCCGGCAUGUACUCUUGGGCGUUGGCAUAAAGGCCUUUUUAAUUAAAAUGUGCGGACAUAAAUGGGUCGCCCGCGUUAGGCGCACGACCAACCAAAAAAUAAAAACGGAUGGACGCGGAGCGGGCCACCGACCCAAAAGGACAAAAUCAUUGUCCGUUUGGAUCGACCGGUUGGAGUGCACGUCCUAUCAUAUAAAAAUAUUAUAUAAGUAUCAAAUACAAUGUGUGUUUCCACCUACCGUCAGCCUAUUUGGUGAUAGGGAUGCAUCGCGCAAACGUGCAUAAAUUUCCUACCGUUAGGACCUCGACGAUAGGAUGUUAUACCCUACCAUCAUGGACCUCGACGGUAAAAAAAAAAAAAAAGAUCAGAUCUUAAUUUUUUUAUAAACUAGGGUAAGAUCUCCAUCAACUUUUAUAAAAGGAUCAAAACACAAAAAUUUGCUACAACUAGAUGAGAUGGAUCAACGUGGUAAAAAGAGUUGUGGCUGUACGUCUGUUGAGUCUUUCAGUCUUGUCUGGUCUAGAGCUAACAGUUAAUAAAGAGAGCAAAGCAAGAAAGAGAGAUUUUAUGACGGCACUUGAGCCUCGGGCAGUGACUGCACAACCUCAAACCCCCUCUUUCACCGUCCAUUGAUUCAUCGCCAACACCUCCACACACAGAAUACGUACAUGAGCCAAGGUGCUCUUUUGGUUCCGUGCACACAUGCUCUUUGAUAAACAGUAAAAUACAAAAAAAAAAAGUUAAUAUUUCAAAAGAAAAAAUCUGAAUUUCUGUCACAAACUUUGAUGAAUGUUUUAAAAAAAAGAAAAACCAAUGCUCCAAACGUCAUUUCAAAGAAUUAACUCUUCUUUACCCACACCUCCAAUGUCCUUUCAUGACAAAAUAUGUAUGCAAUUGAAACAUUCAUCAAUAAUUAUCACGAGAAAUUUCAGCUUCUUAAAAAGAAAUACUACUACUUUUUAUUUAUUUUACUGUUCAUAUGGAGUAUGGGCAAAAAACAGCACUACUAUGAUGAACAGUAAACUGAAAAAAAAUGCAUAGCCAUUAAAAUGCUUGCUCAAGUAUGUGUAAAAUUCCAUAUUGAAAUUACAUUCCACAAAGUAUAAACGAAAAAAACAAAAGCAGAUCUUUAAAAUUUUCUUUGAGCUGAACUUUUUGUCUAGAGCUCCUUGAAUGACAUUUGCUCAUUUGUUGAUGCAAUUUUGCACAAUCCUAGGGAACCAGGACAAUAAAACUAACAAUUACCCAUAAAAUUAUCCAACAGCGAACACACUUUCAGCACAAGCCCACGAAUAUUCACCAAGACAAUAAUAAACUCAUCACCACAUCAACAAUGGAUCCAACUGAUGAUAUAUAUCAAUCCAAGUUGAUUAAGCCUUGGGGAUAAAGAGUGUAAACACACGCAUCAAUGUACAUCAAAGAGUGUCUACAGAAGGGAUCCUAUCUAUCAAAGAGAUGAGCUCCUUCCAUAACUACCCCCUCUUGAAAAGAAAUAUAAGAUUGUUCGUUCUUGAUCUUAUAUUUCUUUACACACUACAUAACUCCCAACAUAUAUAAGAUAGCAAAACAAGAAAGCUCAAAAGAUUCAGAAAAAACAUAUUUCACAUAACAAGAGUAACAAGCACUAGGAGGAUGGAUUAUAAGGUUUCCUACCAGCCCAGACCGAAUUCAGUCAAUUGAUACAUCAUAAUACAGUCAUCAAAUCUAUAGACUAAACUAACAAUUAAGGAUCAACAUCCAUACUAUAUCAUGCUCAGCACACGCACAAAAUGUUUCACCGAGCACUUAAAACACAUCCAUCUAACCAUCCACACAGCCCGCAAAAUGCUCCAGGCCUGCCGAGCAAAUCUUGCGGCAAAAUUGAGUCCACGCCUCCCUAUCAUCAACUAGCACAAAUCUUGGAAUCGCCGAACCAGAAAUAAAAUUACAGCAGGCACCCUCCUUUCACCACAACCACCCUGGAAGAAAACUCUGGCUCCGGGACAUGGAGGCCUCUGGAGGCCUAAUCAAACAUCAAACUGGAUUAGCAAUGCAGAAUCACAGAGCACUAUGAGUCUACCAUCUCGUCUUGCAAUUCGCUAGGGGCAAUCAGCCCUGGGAUGGCAAGCAUCCGUUGCCUUUCCUUUUCUCUUUGUACCGCAGCCUCUUCCGCAUACAGAUCCUUGUUAUCCUAAAUAACCAAUCCACAAGAGAACUUUUGUUAACAAAGCAUCAUAGGUUUCCAGAAAGGUCGGUUUUAUGUAUGAACAUUUUCUUGAUUAUUCCAUGAGGUUAGUUUUCAUCAAUCUUAUGACGGCAUAGCAAAAUUUACCUGGGCUGAGAACUCCUUUGAUUGCACCAGGAAGUCCCUAAUAUGGUUUUUGAAGCUUGGGAGGUCAUGUCUCGAACCAAGGAGCCCAUCAACAAACUUGGUCACCUGCGCAACAAAAUUUGCAAGGUUCAUGAUGGCAGCAAGUCAAUGACAGGAUAACUGUAUUAGGAUGAUCAUACCUCAGCUACCGUCAUGUUAGGAAAUGAUGCCCCAAGAAGUUUGAUUGUGUAGUCCCGUACAAACAAGGCAUUAGAUGGAUAUGAUACCGUGGAUGCAUCCCAUAGAGGUUCAGUUAGGCUGUCAACCUACAUAUAAUAUGAAACCUAAUUAAACAGACGCACACAUAUAAACACUAGGUGUCAUGAUAUUAAUCAUGCGCAAAAAACAUACCACGCAAAACAAGUGUUGAAGCACCAAAACAUGAAGUUUGAAUCCAGGUUUAUGAAAUGAAUCUGUGAGAACUGCAAAAAUCUCCUGCUCUAUAUUCAAAAAAUAUGUCUUGUAGAACUGAUUCGUGAAUUCUGAAGCCUGCGAGGCAACCGUAUCAAAGAGUUAGCUUCCAAAGAAUUACAUACAACAAAGAAAGGAUGGACCACGUGUUCUUGCCUGAAAAUUCUUCAGAAUUUCCAACAAUAGACUAAGGCCGGUCUCGGCAAUGUUUCUCUCUGUAUGUCUAAAUGCCCAGUUAAUCGAAUCAAUCACAAGCUUCAAUUGCUGAAACAAACAGUCCAAUAAUCAAAUUAAUGAGAAGGAAAGUGGGUUGCAGUACUAAUAGAUAACAUCAACAGGGCUAAUAUUAGUAAUUAAAAAAUUCACAAACCUGGCUGGAAAGCUGAAUUAAAGCUUUGAAGCAAUGAGUGCCGAUAGCACGAAGUAAAGAGAAAAACUUGAGGCGGUGCUCAGGAUAAUCUUCAAAGUUUUUAGUAAUCAUCUGGCCAGACCAAACAAUCAGUGAAAUCUCGAAGUGUAACUGAGUAUGAACAGUAAAAACUAAAGUUGUAAUUCCUACCUCAAGGGUACACUGGAAAACAGCCUCGAAUAUACGAGGCACAUCAUCAAGCAUUUCAGCUUUGUACCUUCAAUAUAAAUACAAAGAUUAGAAAUGAUGUACAAUAACAGCAGAGUAUUAAGUAUUAAUAAUAUAAACAACUGAAUAUGAAACCUAGAUGACUGACAGAAGAAUCCUCCUACAAGCUACCAUCCACUAAUUAGAGAACAUUUUACUUCCCCGGCUAGAGAAAAAAAAUGGGUAUCAAAUUCAAGACAAUACUUGUUUAUAAUUGUUGCAAACAGGGACAGGACUUCAGAUUCCCUUGCAUCAGGCACAUUUCUUGCAUAAUCACCAAGAAUAGGAUCCAUCAUUGGAGGAACAAACUGCUUCCCAAGGUGUGGUAGGUCUUCAGCUUUGUCCACAAAAGUCUCAAUCAAUUUCAAUGUUUCCCUCUUGAUAGAUCUGUUUUAAGUAUCAUAUCGUUAUUCAGUAAGACAGACAAAUGAAAACAGAAGGAUAGAUAUCAACAAUUAAUUAUACCUCAAGAGUUUUACAAAUGACGACUUUGAGGCAUAAGGCCCCCCUUCAGCAAUAGUGCUUGAUACAAGCUCGCUGUACAUUCUGAUAUAAAUAUAACACAAAGAAAGAUGCAUUAGAUUGUGAGAUAUUGCUCGUAACAUUGCAAAACCUCAAACUAUUACAACGAAAUGGGGAGGCACAUUUUGGACUAAUAUACAAGCAAAAUUUCGACUAAGGCUAAACCAGCACAAUAUUUUGACUAGAUUGACUUGCCCCGGCGUAAAAUUAUCAUGUACUCCCUCACGAAACGCUCUUAUAUUACUGUACAGAGAGAGUACUAGACUGCCCAAGUUUACAGGAGCGGGUGACACCAGGCAGGACCAGUCCAAUGGAAGAAGUUCUCCUUACUUCUCCAGGCCUAGCUCAAAACUUCAGAAGAUGCUAACCAGCACCCUAAUACUAUAAAACAUGUGUGGGAUGCUAAAGAAAAUACCUGUAAACUGUCAGCAUGUCGAGGAAGAUCAGUGAAAUUUGUGGGAAAAAGUGUGGUCCAAGCGAAGUCGCAACACUUGUGUUUGUCUGCAAUUGCAAAUAGCAAAAUCAUGUUAGUACCAAGGAGCAAUUGCAAACAUGAUAACAAGGAAACCCAAAAUCCAAACACCAUUAUCACCUUUAGCAACACACUACUAGUAGCAUAUUUGUGAGGAUGUCACUAAGAACAGCAUACCAUACUAGUGCUAAUUCAGUCUCUAUACAGGCUGGUUGGUAAAAACGUCAACUAAAAGCACUACAGUUUUCUAGGAUGAAGAACACUCUAAACUAGCUAACCUAUGAGGAGUUCAGAUAUCAAGUGUGUUUAUGGUCCAUUUGGAAAGUCCAGGUAACUAUUCUGUGCUUUACAUAAUUUUGUUUGCCUUGGCUAGCAACAAACCAAGGUUCGGGAGACUAAAGUUUUGGAGGAAUGACAUACAACUAUGUUUGGUCGUCUAACAAAUAUCAUUUCUUGAAGUAUACAACCACAAUCUUAUAGUGAAUUCACAUAAUAAAGUAAAGAACUUCAAAACACCAUAUAAACAGCCAACAUCAUUGCAGUUUACACUUAAAACCACAAUGAUCAAAUACAGCCUCGAUUAUUACCUGCAAGAUGUUAAGAACAGAUCUGAUAACAUCUUGGUUCUUGAGGAUAUCAAUGCUUUGGCCUGCCUGUCCAAUUAUUUCUGCCCAUUUCUGUCAAAUCAAAUCACAAGAUAAACAUUGUAAAUACUAUCCUUAAGGGAAAGCAUGAAGAAAGCAAAAAUUCAUGCUAGAACCAAACCUGAUUAGGAAGGCUCAUCAAUCUCUUCAGGUAUUCGUCCCUCUUAGUAUUGUCAGAUUCAGCUUGAAUCAUGUGACCGACCUGAACAGUGAGAACAAAGGCACAAAUAAUAUCAGAUUCGGCUUGAAUCAUGUGGCUGGGAUGAACAGUGAGCAAAAAAAGGUACAAAUGAUAGUACGAGUAACAGCCUAUCUUGGCUCAAUUUGUUCAACAUACCGAUUCAUAAAAGGUAUGAAUCUGAUGUGGCUCUAGAUCAAGAAUUGUCGUAGCAAGGUUGGUAAGCAGUUCGGAAACAAAUGGUUCGUUCUCUCCCACCUGGAAAACAGCAGGAAAUUAAAAAAAUGGGCACAUGACUGGUGAGUAUCGUAUAGUAUAAAUGUGAUGAUAUGUGUGUCUAAAUUCAGUUACCGACAUGCGUUUGAGUAAUACAUAAUUAGAAACAAAUCAGAAGUCAUCAAUUAACAUACAGAAUUGAAGACAAAGGCAAUGUGAUUUAAUGAAUCUACCUGUUGUGUCACAAACUUGCGCUUGCAUUUCUGAACAAUUUUCAGGAACGUAUCACAUGCCAUAUCCUGCAACAAACAUUGUGUCGCGUACAUUACAUACAGUAGGAUAGGAAAUGUAAAAGUUGAAGAGGUACUUAAAACUUGUGUGUAAAUGCAGAGCAAAGCACAACUAUGCACAGCAACAAAACAGAAGCAGCGGACUGUAGGUUACCACAAAUAUAUAAUAAUAUAUGUGUUCCACACUAGAAGAAUUUUCCCAUUCCAACUGAAGAAACUACAUGUAAAUGCAUCACUGACCUGAACCCCAGGAUGCAUCUCAUGCAUGAACUCAAAUAAUUUGUUGACUACUGUCUUCAGAAACUUCCAAUGAGCCCUGAGAAAUCUCGGGUACUGACCAACCACAUACCUAUUAAUGCAACAGUUGGAUCAGCAAAGAUAUUCUUUUGAUAAUUCCAAACAUGAGAGAAUUGGAGCAAAUGCGUACAUGAUGUUACUCGCAAUAACAGCUUUGUUGUCUUUGCCCUUCGUGAUUUCACAGAGAUUUAGCAAAUCACGAAUAACCAUCACCAAGAAUCUGUUCUCCUGCAAUAAUAGAUCCAGAGGAACCAUUUAGGAUUUACUGUUAAGUAAAGCUAGUAAAGUGCGAGUCCUCCACAAGCAUUUACCGGAACAAAAUGACUGAGGAUAAUAAAAAGUGUACAAACCUGUUCCUCCACCAUAGAACCAGAUAUUGAUCCAAUAGCCCAGCAUAGAGUAUUGAGGUUAUUCCAACUCCAAUCUUCUCCAUUCAAUUGCUUAGUCAAUUUCUUCAACAUCUGGAACAACAAAAGAAGUGUCAGAGUUGUGGCCUAAAUUCAAAAGGGCAGUAAAUAGAAAACAUAAGCAUGGCAACACAUGCAUAAACAAAAUAGAUAUUUGCUCCCUACAUACACAGACUGAACAGUCUCCGAUGAAUAAUCAUGUCCAUUGUCAUUAAUUGUAUUAGUGUUUUGGCUAGAUCUUUAUGUCAUUUCAACACAAAGAGAAAGGCUUGCACUUGGACCACAUACUACAGACCAGCUCACAGUAGUGUAUACUAUGUGUUGCAUAAUUUCUGAAACUAUAAUGAAAUAAUCCUGACAACAUGAAUAGCUUACCUGUUGCUCUGUAUCCUCAUGAUCAAGAUGGGACAAGUAAAUCAGCGUUUCCCUCAUAAUCUAGUAAGAAUUAAAAAAAGAAGUGUCACAUCAGUUUUAUCAACCUUAUAUUGGAGAAGGUCACCUCAUAAAGCACCACAGCAGCAUCGCAAUUUGUUACCAACCUUAUAUUGGACAAGGACAUCAUUAUCCUUCAUUGUUUCCCGUACAAUAUUGCCAUUUUCAUCUUCCACAAUCAAUACCUCCUCCGGCUUUGCCAUCCGACAAAUCAUCAACAUUCGUAACUUUGAUAGUGGACUUGCAUAAAGCUGCCUCCUUUGGUGAACAGCUGUACCAGUACCGUCAACUCCAGGAAUCAUCUGGGCCUACAAGUUAAGCAUUGAUGUGACCAGAAGGAUUUAUAUCUUGAUUACGAAAAGAGGAGUUCACAACACAAGAAACAGACAUAGAACAAAAUGCAGCACGUGGAUGGAAAUAUAUCACAAGAACAUAAGAAAAUAUCAGCUCUGUACGGAAUAACAAGACGUUUUUGAUAUUUUAAUAUGGACUGCAUACAGACUAAAAGGAGUGAACAAACACACUAAAACGUGUCUAUAUUACAUUCGGUUUAGAAAAAAGUUGGAACACCUUAUAAUUCAAAAUGGAGUAAGUUUCAUGAUAGUUUUUUGACAAAAUGCUUAAAUUAGAAAGCUGGAUAUAUCACGUGGACAGCUUUCCCAUUGAUAACAGAAACAAAUCAAAAGCACCUGAAGCCCAAUGAUGCUUACAGCUGGUAUUGCAGGCUCCAUUUGAUUGUGUGCUUCAAAAAGUUCCAACACAAAUACAUUCCAGUAAUCCAAACACACCUGCAAUUAACCAUAAUGAGAUUUUACACCAUGUGAAUGUAGAUCCAUGCUAAAUCAGGUCUAAAUUUAUUACCUUAAAAACUUCGGUGUCAUCAACAUAUGAUAUUCCAAUGAGGUACUCGAGACCAACAAGUAAUGCAGCUCUAUUUUCUGCAGAUGCCUCCAGUAUACGUAUAUGAUUCUGCACGGACCAGAAAGAAAGAGAUUACAACAAAACAAUGUAUCACACCAAAAAGAGAUUUCUCUCUGUUGUACUAUCAUUAUUAUAUUACCAACUAGCAUGUCUCUAUUUGUAGAUCAUUAUAAAUUACCAACUAGCAUGUCUCUAUUUGUAGAUCAUAGAGUUCAAACGUGCAAAACAAUGACCAAUACUGUAAUAAAAAUCCAUUUUGUGUUACAGCUGGGAACGUGGUGAAAACAGAAUUAGGAUCGUUACAUCAUCUAAGAAUAUUUUAUGAAGAACAAAAUCUCUCAUAUACUAGACCAAUUAAUAGGGCACAUCCAUAAUGUGAUGGAUCUGACCUUGAAGAAGGCAGUGAAGAAGAGUGCCAGAUUUUGUAUGAAUGCUUGUUCUUCAUUGGAACCAUUAGCAUAUGCAUUGGGAAUUGUUGCAGGAGGAAGAAUAGCCUAAACAUUGGAGAGAGAAAUCCAUUAGUAAGUGUUCAAACGGACAUCUUUAGAAAGAAAAAAACAUAGUUUUUUCCCUGAAAUACAUCAUUCACCUGCAGCUGCAACAUGAAAAAUGUGUACAUCUUCACAUACUGCAUGUUAUAAAAAUCACCAAAAUGAAGAGCAGCAACCUGCAAAGAAAAAGUCAAAACAAUGUUUUGUCAAUGUUGGGCUCACUUUUCUGCCACUAUGAUGUAACAGAACACAGAGCAAACUAAUAAUCAAACUAUAAGACAGGAAGUCAUUGCAUUACUCCAACAGAAAAGUUGGAAACAACACAAAACUAAACACACCUAACAAUAUGUUUUCUUUACCUCUGUCAGGCACUGAAGUGUAAGGUUCCGAUAGGCAGCCAUAGGAAAGAACUUCAGCAGCGUCUCCAGCUAAAAACCAUCAAGGGGAAAAUUGAGACAGAUUUUCAAAGAUAACACUGAGAUGAAAAUUCUGGGGGAAAGUAGAAAUAAGCGAAGUACCAAUGGCGACUCAAAGAUGAAUCCAACAGGAAUCCAUGAUAAGAAAGCAUGAAGCGUAGCUAAUGUAGCACGGAUCAGCUCCGAACUUUGUGUUGCAGAUAGGACAUACAAACACAACUCGUGGAUGAGUCGAAAUUCACUGUUUCACAAGAAGGAAAAUUAGGACAGAACAACUAAAAAUAGUGGCCCAGCUAAGGAGGAAAGAAGAGAUACACAAAAAAACCGAGUACUUCUACUCAUCAAAUAAAAGCUGUUAGGCAGACACAAAUGAUAGAUGGCCAUAAAUCAUACCUGUUGAGUGAGGACUUGAGUUCUUUAAUCUUCUGUUGAGUCAUUUCACCUCUUGAAAAAUCAAAAAUUUCUUCACUUAAAAGCUGCAAAUUACUUCAUGGUUAGUAGUUGUUCUGACACAUCAAUUAAGCAGAUACGAAUAGAAACACAGCUUGCCUUCAAUAUAGCCAUGCAGUUUUCACAAAUGGUUUCACUGCUCUUUGCUGCUGCAACAAGGUCAGGAAUGAAGGAUGUCCACCUGGCUGGCCACUCAUGCUUCAGAACCUAUUAUGUUGGCCACAAUUCAGAACAAGUGGUUGUCAAAUGCAUUUAUUCGGGUAAUGGAAAAAAGCGAAUGGGUUAAAUGGAUCAAGAAGUAUUUACCUGCACCAAUAUAAUGUUGAGUUUAUUAACAUAAAGCCUCUCUUGUCGAAAGGAAACCUCGUUACUUGAGAGCUGGAGGAGUGCCAAAAGUGAACGGCAAAAGGAGUACAUGAAUCAGAUUUAUUUCAUGAGAAGUGACAAAGGUUUGCCAUAUUUAACAAAGAAGUUAAUCCUUGCCUGAACAAUCACAUCAGAUAUGUAAUUCUUUAUGCCAUCACGUUGUUCAACUGGCAACGCAUUCCACCUGUACUUGAUAACACUUUCAAGUACCUAAAAUUUAUUUGAAAAUAAUCAAUACAUGACAAAACCUAAACACAAUAGAGCAUAUGUCGCAUGCAACUGCAUGCACCUACAUAAUCAUAUCAUAUGGAUCCAAUAACAUCAACUCAACACAGCAAAUGAAAGUCAAACAACAAAGUAUGGAGAUCAUUAUAAUGUCUUGUGUUCCCCUAAAGGUUCACCAUCAUGAAUCAUCACUGCCCUAAAGGUUCAAAAUUAUCACUGCUCUAAUAGCAAACACUACAACCAUACAUGUCCAUUUUAAAUAUUUACGGUAGACUACCCGACAUGCACAAAAAGGACACCGACCAUCAUCACACUAUACAAGGUUUAGUACCAACAGCAUACAUUUGUCAGUAUUAACAACACGACACAGGGUUAAUGUUCGUAGUUAUUUUGUCCAUCUUGUGCACAGAUUUUUGUACGGAAACAGAAAAGGGCAUGGUAAUGUGAACUGAAAUGUGAGUAAUUAAAUUUCAUGCAAAGAUGGCACCCAGAACGAUUAGAUAUAAUAGACAGUAUGCUUUGGAAUGACAGGAGAAAAAUAAACACCACUGGCUACAUAACUUGCUUAUGGACCAUCAACAUUUAUCCUGGCCCAUUUCAUCCCCUCUACACAUGGCAUCAUGGCAGUUUCAAGUCAAAAAUAAAAAUGAUGGAAGAAUUGCGCAAAUAUUCAAAGGACGACUAUCCUGGCCAGGUUUUAAAUAGGCCCAAAAGAGGCAGAAGGGAAACAGGAGAAGGCAUGGCUCCUAUUCGAAAAAACAAGCUAAAGUAUGUUUCUACACUGGCAGACAAACCAGGUAUCUUUUGUAUCAUCCUAUCUUGGUACUAAUAAUGUAACGAACUAUAUAAACUUUCUUUAUCUUCUAUAGGAAAACCAAUAGAAUGCAUUUUAUUCAUAUAGUGAGAUGUGCAACAGCUGGCAGUAACUAGCCAAUCAAAUUAGUAUCGUACAAAAUUGCUAGUACAUGACGGCAAUGGCGCUUGAGCUCACAGGCCAGAGCAGAAUCCUAUUAGACAUGCAUCUUUUCUACACCAUGGGAUUUUUAUGUAGCAUACUGCAUGUUCAAAUGUGUUGAACCCUCAAACUCAAAGCCAGGCGACUGGGUAUUUUAACUGCUUAUUAAAACCGGUUACAAGUUGGACAAGAAGAAUGUUAGCAGUGAUAUUUCCUAAUAUAACCAGUGAACGGCAGUAGCAAGUAUAAUUAAUGGCUGGUGCUGGGAGUGCUGAGGGCAAAUCAUGCAUGAUCUAAUGCAAGGCCAGCUGCAGCGACGGCAUCGAUUCAGUUGCAAACUAGCGUCUACACAUUUGAAAUAAGGCACUGAGGAGCAGAGACUUACUUGGAGGGCAAAGAACUUGGUGUUGAGGUUCUGGGAGUGCUGCAGGAUGUGCACCACUUGCAGCCACAUGUCAGGGUUGUUUUGCAGAUCCCGCAGUAUCAGAUCAGCGGCGCUCCUCUGAAACAUAGCAGCCCAUUUCAAUCAGCAGAGUUAGAAGCAGGCACAUAAACCACAGCAGCCCAUUUCAAUCAGCAGAGUUAGAAGCAGGCACAUAAACCACAGCAGUAGGAGCAGAUAAACCACAGCAGCAGUAGCAUGCAAAGCAAUCGGGUUUCCAGCCUUCCAGGUUGGAGAAGUGGAAUUAGUACAAGACACAACAAACAUGGAGCGGCAAGCGUGAGGCAUCCUGCGGGUGUAUUGAGGCAUUUCGGGCUGAUGAUCGGCGCUAAGCCUCCUCCACCCACCAAACCCUAUCUUACCGCUGCCGUCCGCCCCCGAAGUAACCUCGAGCGCUGCUCUUGCGAGUGGACAAACAACUACUAGUAUAGCAUCUAGCGCGUGGACCGGAAACCCUAGGUGACGUCUGGCAGGCAGGAGCCGAGCGAAACAGACUAACAAACGCGUGCGGUGGGGGGGAAGGGGAAGGGGAGCGGGCGGCGGGGUUGGAGGCGGUUACCUCCUCCUUAGAUCCGGUGCCGUAGAAGGCGGCGACGGUGGCGUCGAGCACGGGGACAUCGAUGGGCUGGCUCAGAUCCCUCAGCUUCUCCGCCAUGGCGGCGGGCGGGGGGUGGGGGAGCACCGGUGGCGGUUAGCCCCCUGGGUGUUUCUCUAUUUGCGAUCGGGUCCCUCCAUCCCUUCCUAUUUGCGCCGCUGGCCCGAUUCAAAAAUGGAGGGUGGGGAUCGAGCUUCCUCCCUCGGUCACUGCACUCUAUCCUUUUUCUUUUUUUCUUCUUUUUUUAUUGAAAAUGGACCAAUUUUUUUAGGGAGACUGAAAAUGGAUCUAUGGAUUUAUCUUGGAGGAUACCUUCUAGGCUCGAGGCCUCGACGCUCGCCCGAGGCUCGUGUGCUUGGAUCAUCCCCGGCAUUGCAUUGAUCUUGGUGUGUGUGUUUUUGAACUUCGCGUUGAGUAUAAGUCGUGUUGUACGGGUUGUAUGUAGUGUGUGGAUUUUUAGGUGAAGGUGCUCGGAUUGCUCGCGCUAUCUCAGAGUUGUCCUUUGGCUUUGUUUGUGCGUGAGAGCGUGUGGUUGACCUUUGUCGUGUUUUGAGGGUCGGACAAAAAAGUCGUCCGAGUCGGUCAAAAGGUGCAUUUAUCACUCUCCCGCCAAAUCUGGUGGCUUGCACCUCAAAUUUUUUAGAGGAGGUUACUUUGUCGUGGACUCGACGUCCAAGCUAGUAGCAACCGUACUAAAACCAUGCCCCGAGGUCGAAGACGGUUUCAUAUCACAUGUGGAUGGUGUUGACAAGCCGGUCUUUUUUGUAGAGUGUAAGAUGAGUUAUUUGUAAACGGACCUCUCGUCUGCCUAGCCCGCACUCACUCACGCUUAGCCCCUUAUGCUCUCUUCUAUUUUCCAUCCCUCCAUCUAUCCGCAAACUCAAUUCAAAAUGGAUGUUGGGGAUGGAACCUCCUCGCUCAAUGCAUUAUAUAACUUAUUCCUUUGUUUUCCCUUUUCUCUUUCUUUUGAACAUAUGGGUUUAUCUCGAAAACCUUUCAGGCUCAAGUUUUUAAUACUCGGUCGUGCAUGUGCUAAGAUUUUCUCGGCAUUGAUUUCGAUAUGUUUUCUGAACUUCACCUUGAUCGUGUUGCACCGGUUGUGCAAAGGUGUGUGUGUAUUUACGUGAAAGUGGUCGGACUGCUCGCAUUAUUGGAGAGUUAUGUGUCUUUCAUCAUGCAUGAGAGCAACAUGUUUGUUCAAUCAUGUUUACAAAAAGUCGGAAUAACCUCCCCAGCCAGUUAGGUGGUGCAUUUAUCACCCUCGCGCCAAGCUCCGUGACAUACCCCCAUCAAAAUUUGAAGGAGUUACUUUAUCAUGGACUUCUGCGUUCAAGUUAGUGGCAUCCAUGUCUUGAGGUUGACGACGGUUUUCGUAUCAAACAUGGAUGGUGUCGACAAAUCAAUCUUUUGUGGAGUAUAAGAUUAUCCGUAUUAAACUAAACAAAUGGCACGGUAGAAGUAUUUAUUUAUUAAAAAAUAUCAUACUAGCCAAUUUUAAUUCAAACAUUUAUCAUGUGUCUCGUCUUAGUUUGUAACCAAUCUUUGCACAUAACCUUAAUUUUUGGGCAUAGUGGUUUUCAAAGUCUAAGUCCAUACAUAAUUAAAUUAAUGUGGAGUUCAAUGAAAAUUAUGUUAUGUAUCAUUAAAUCUGGUCAACCGCAUGUUAGUACACCAAUGACGUCCCUCUGUCCAUUAACCACCCCUGCUUUCUGCUCUUUCCGUUCGAGUCUCACCUCACCCUCUAACACAAACAAAAUGAAAAGGGUGGGGAUGGAACCUCUUUGGUGUCGUUCACCCCAUGGACAUUACCAUGGAUCCUACACCAACACCCUAAGUGCCAGGUGAAAGGAUCGAUAUGGUUGACCAGAGGAGGGUGAAUAGGCAGCUACCGAUUUUUAGCUCUCCUUAACAAAUUAGGGUUAGCAACAAAAGGUUCUCUAGAUAAACACCUAGGUGAGCAACCUAUAUGAUGCUAACAACAACAACAACUAAUGCAAGUGAGAAAUACACCACAACAAUAGUAAGGUCAAAGUAAAGGUAAGAGAUAACCAUAAGUAAAAUCGGUGAAGACGAUGUUGUGUUACCGAAGUUCCUUCCCUUUGACACGAAGUACGUCUCCAUUGGAGCGGUGUCGAGGCACAAUGCUCCCCAAGAAGCCACUAGGGCCACUGUAUUCUCCUCACGCCCUCACACAAUGCGAGAUGUCGUGACUCCACUAGUGGUGCCCUUGAGGUGGCAACCAGACCUUUACAAACAAGAUUGGGGCAAUAUCCACACAAAGCUUGGAGGCUCCCAACAAGACCACGGAGUUUCACCACAAUGGAAUGUCGCUCCGAGGUGACAUCAACCGUCUAGGAUGCUCAAACACCCAAGAGUAACAAGAUCUGCAAGGGAUUAGUGGGGGAAUCAAAUUUCUCUUAGUGGAAGUGUAGAUCAGGGCCUUCUCAACCAAUCCCUAGGAAAUCAACAAGUUUGAUUGGCUAGGGAGAAAGAUGGGCGAAAAUGAGCUUUGGAUCAACAAUGGAGCUUGGGGAGGUAAGAGGUGGCCUUCUUGGGGAAUAAGACCCCUUCAUAUAGUGGGGAAAGAAUCCAACCGUUACCCCCACUCACAGCCUGAGCAGAGCGGUACUACCGCUGCUAGGAGAGGUACUACCCCAGGGUAUGUUCACCAACCACGGUAGUAAAAAAUUACUUUCGUGCCUACCACCGCUAAGGCUGCGGUUGGGCAAAAGUCUGAGAGAGAGGUAGUAAAAAAACACUACCGCCCAGAGAGCGGUACUGCCGCUGGCACCUGCGGUACUAUCGCUGGCACUUUGCACGGACAGUGAGAAACAAGUUGGAGCUCCAUUGAAGCGAGGGAAAGGUGAUGCAAUAGAACUGUGUACGUGUUGAUUCCACCCUAACCUUUCCGAAGCGGACCCCCUCUUAAUAGUAUGGCUUUCCUACGAGUCAAAUCCACCACAGAGAAACAUAGAAAGCAACCGUCUUUGGUAGACUCCGAGGGGCACCGAAUCGUCUUGUGCCUAGUCAUGAAUUAUCUGAAAUGCUCAAUGAACACGAUUAGUCCGCACAGGCAUUGUCAUCAAUCACCAAAACCACUUAGGGAGAAAUAUGCCCUAACAAUCUUCCCCUUUUUUGGUGGAUUGAUGACAAUACAUGAUUUGCACAAGAAGAUAUAAAAAAAUAACAUAUGCAAACCCAAACUCUAUAAACUAGAGACAAGCUCCCCCUGGAUGUGUGCAUACUUAGAGAAAAGCCAUGGACUGCAAAGCACACAACCUCGGAAUAGCACUCCCCCUACUUUUUACAGACGAGGCAUUCCUUGCAACAAACAGAUUAAUCACUAAGCAUGGAAGCAAGGCAUAACAUGUGAGCAUGAAGAUAAGGGCACAAAAUAAAUAGACUCACAAGCUACAAACAUAUUGGAUAAUAAUGAGACAAUAAAGAGAGAGGAGUGAUAGCAUAUGUCUCACACCAUAUGAUAGCGAAAGUCUUCAGGUCUCACACACAAAAUAAAACCAACCAAACCAAAGCGACAAUGACGGUUCAACGAACAAAGAAACGAAAGUACUCGCAAAUCCUACACUCUCUCCCCUUUGGCAUCGGGACACCAAAAAGGCAGAGAGGACACCAAAAAGGCAGGGAAGACACCUACGACACAGGUGGUAGCUCGAGAUGCAUAGAUAUCAGCCAUCGGACUCCUCAUCAGACUCCUCAUCAGCCUCCUUAUCACACUCAUCAGACUCAUCCAACUGAAGAUUCUUCUUGUCCAUCCAAGCCGCUUCAGGAGUAAUGUCUUGCUCAGACCCACUGGAGAUGUGCACAUCGAGCUUCCUCAGAAUCAGCUUGUCGCGCUGACGACUCUCCUUUUGAGCAACAUGGGUCAUAUACUGCCCCUUUUGCAUGCAUGCAAAACAAGGUCUUCAUCCGGUCCUUGAACUUCUUGGCCCAAGAUGGCUCGGCAGAGGAAGGCGCAUGUGUCUCUCGAAUGCCCUCAUCCCGAGCCCCAGCAUCAUCCUCAUACUCAUCAAUAUCUAUGUUGGUAGCAGCAGGUGAUGUGGUAGUGUUGGCCCACUUGUUCUUCUGACGCAGCUUAAUAAUCUCAUGACGGAUCCAACCGGGAGCCUAAAACAUCAUAUAUGGAUAGGUCAUCCACCACCUCUCCCGGAUCAAGUAAACAGAUAAGGUCCAUAUAUGGGAACCUUUCGGUGAAACACAGUUGACUGAAGCUCACUCCACAUGACGUGAGACACAUCAAGCGGUACAUGAGCACGAGCCCGCCCUUUCUGACACAUCGAAAGCAUAUCCACCAGAUAUGAACGCACCUAGUCCUCGUUGCCAACACGCAAAAAGAGAGUGUUGUGGAAGAUUCAGUGCAUGACAUCAAGGAAUGGGUUCAGCACAUGAGAGAUCUCACGAGUUGGGGACACUUUCUCAAUAAAGUAGGGCGACAACUUUUCCUUAGGUGUAGCAGAUGGCUUUGCGUGCGGGCGCAAACCAACUGGUUCUCAAGCCCCUCAUCAGAAUGUGCAGAAGGUCCAUAAACUUCUUCCAAGUAACAGACAUCUUCUCCCCACUAGUCAUCCAAGUCAUAGUGUGCUCCAUCAGAGUGGAAGUGAAUGGUAACAAAGAACUGAGCCACAAUCUCAGGAUCGCAGUCAAGCUAAAACGAGAUGAUAUCCUCGAUCCCGAGCUUCUCCACAAUGUCCACAGGCUCACCAAAAUAUGUCGGAUCCUUCUUGAGAUGAUCCAUGUCAAUCCACUGAACUAGUACAUAGAUGUUCUUCUUGGUCUUGAUCACAUCUUGAUAGAUAACAUCCUAUUGCUUGGACCAUAAAAGUUCACAACCCUUGAGAUGAACCCUCUCGAUGACGCAGGGGUCGCGCUUCCGGCGAACCAGAAACUCAGCUUGCGACAUACCAUCCCAACUGAUAGUGUGCUCUGAGCCCUUGUUUGCGGGCCUCUUGAAGUUGCGCUUCGGAGCCUGGGAUCCCUCAGGUGCAUCUUGAUUGCGAAGGCGCUUGGAAGCGAUAUCCCAAGAAGGGUCCGUCCACCUGGAGCCACCACCUAUGACACACAAUGCAAACACAAGAAAACGACAAAAGAAGUCAAGGCAAAGACCAAAGCAAACCAGAGAACCCCGGAGAAAUGAGAAUUAGUAGGACAUAACAUGUGAAUUCACGAUCUAGUGGUAGUACCGCAGUUCAACUGAUAGUAAAAUUUUACUACCGCACUGACCGCGGUAGUACCCCUCCAGGGUGUGGUAGUACCGUAGUUCAGGCGGUAGUAAAAAUUUACUACCGCGCUGACCGCGGUAGUACUUCUCCAGGGGAGGUAGUAUCGUAGUUCAGGCGGCAGUAAAAAUUUACUACCGCGCUGAGUGCGGUAGUACCGCUCCAGGGUGCGGUAGUACCAUAGUGCAUGCGGUAGUAAAACUUUACUACCGCACCCACUGCGGUAGUACCGCUCCAGGAGGAGCAGUAGUACCGCACGGGGCGAAAACUGCAAGAUCUGACACUCCAAUCUUCAGAUCCAGUACUACCGUAGACCAAAACAAACAUGUUGUAUCCUACUAAGUAGCAAAUCUACCACACAAGAACUCCAACCAUCCAUUCAUGUAAAGAUUGUGCCACAAAACAAUGAAACCUAACUCAUAUGCCCCCAACCCUAGAUCCAACAAAAUCGAGAGAGAGAGAAGAGAACUAGGGGCGAUACCGGGUUCCAUGGCCCGAGGGAGAGGAAGGAUAUGACCCCACCAAACGGAAUGGGAUGGGAGUGGCCGGAGAAGGAGAUUUGCGAGUCCUUUCGGUGAUGUUUCUUGAGAAGAGAGAGAGACACACACACACACACGAGAUGAAUGGGUACGAAUGGGUAUGGGGGAGAAGAAACUGCCCCUGCCCUAAUAUAACUCCUCGCAGCCCGACGACGGGGUAGUACCGCGAUCAUUACGGUAGUAAAAUUUUACUACCGCUCGCUGAGCGGUAGUACCGUUCGUCUAGCGACAAUAAAAAAUUACUGCUGCUCCGGAUGCGGUAGUACCGUGCCCUCUCCAGCGGUAGUACCGUGGCUAUCCACGGUAGUACCGCUCAGGAAAAAAAACGGUUGAUCUUUGCAAGAAAAUAGAGGAAACACAGGACAACUCCAAGCGAAGACAAGCAAAGCAAAUCACGACACGACCAACAAACACCGAUACGAAUCUUGUGAUGAAGAGAGGACGGUGGCCGGAGCCACCUAUGUUUGAGACAUUUAGUAUGACACCGAAAAGAAUUAUCCUUGGGUUCAUGACCAUAGCUCGACUUUGAAGCACAAGUGCCAUCAACAAUGGCUAAUGUGAAAGACGUGAUCGAUUUAUGCAUAAUGGGGGGAGGGAAAGUUCGUUGAGAGAACAACACUCCCCCUAUGUCCAUGCCUACACCUAGAGCAAGAUAUAAUGAUGAGUGUGGUGUGGUGUGCCUAGCUUCAAUCAACAUUGAUCGUAUCAAUGAUAUUUAGCUCAUGCCUUAACUCGCGAAACCUUGCUUAAUCUAGAGGCUUUGUGAAAAUAUCCGCAAGUUGCUCUUGUGUGCUGAUGAAGAGGACCUCAAUAUCUCCAUGCUUGAUAUGAAUGAAAUGAUGCCGAAUAUCAAUAUGCUUGGUCUUGCUAUGUUGCACCGGAUUGAGAGAUAUCUUGAUAGCACUUUGUCACAAGUGACACUGUAAUCCUUUAAAGUUUGCCUCAUCCAUAGUAAUUGAGCACAACAACUUGCGGCAGCUACAUACUCAGCCUCGAUGGAAGAAAGUGACACACAGUUUUGCUUCUUCGAAGACCAACUUACCAAAGAGCGACCAAUGAAUUGGCAUCCUCAAAAGGUUGACUUCCUCCCGACACAGUCUCCAACCCAAUCUGAGUCAGAGUAACCUACUAGAUUAAAGCUUGCUCCUUUGGGGUACCAUAAGCCAAAGUUUGGGGUAUGAGCCAAAUAUCAAAAGAUUCGUUUGACUGCUGCAUAGUAACUUUCCUUUGGUGCGGAUCGAAACCGUGCAUAAAUUCCCAAACUCAACAUGAUAUCUGGUCUAGAUGCACAAAGGUAAAGCAAGGAUCCAAUCAUGGAGCGAUAUACCUUUUGAUCCACUGAUUUACCAUUGGGAUCAUUGUCAAGCUUGCAUUUGGUUGGCAUGGGAAACUUGACUGGCUUGAUGUCCUCUAGAUAGAACCUCUUGAGCAUGUAUUAAGUGUACUUGGCUUGUUUGAUGAACGUUCCUUCUCUUCCUUGUUUGAUUUCGAACCCAAGAAAGAACUUCAACCCUCCCAUCAUAGACAUCUCAAACUUCUCGGUCAUUAGUGCAACAAACUCUUCAUUGAAAGAUUUGUUAGGAGAACCAAAAAUAAUAUCGUCAACAUAUAGUUGGCAUAUGAACAAAUCCCCUUUGACCUUUUUGGUAAAAGGGUGGGAUCAAUUUUCCCAAUCUCAAACCCACGAUCUUGCAACAACUCGGUAAGGUACUCAUACCACACACGUGGGGCUUAUUUAAGGCCGUAGAGCGCCUUCUUGAGUUUGUAUACAUGAGUGGGGAGCUUGGGAUCCUCGAAUCCCGGGGUUGUUUGACAUAUACCAACUCAUUUAAGGGACCAUUAAGAAAUGCACUCUUCACAUCCAUUUGUUGCAAUUUGAAAUCAUGAUGAGAAGCAAAUGCAAGCAGCAUGCGAAUAGAUUCAAGAUGAGCAACAGGGGGAAAGGUUUCACCGUAGUCGUUACCCUCGACUUGGGAGUAGCCUUGAGCCACCAGUCUUGCCUUGUUACGAACAACAACACCAUUUGCAUCUUGCUUGUUCUUUAAGAUCCAUUUGGUUCCAAUGACAUUAUGUUCCUCCGUUGGCCUUGGCACUAACUGUUGGAAAUAUGCCCUAGAGGCAAUGAUAAAAUAGUUAUUAUUAUAUUUCCUGUUUCAAGAUAAUCGUUUAUUAUCCAUGCUAUAAUUGUAUUGAAUGAAAACAUAGAUACAUGUGUGGAUACAUAGACAAAACAAUGUCCCUAGCAAGCCUCUAGUUGGCUAGCCAAUUGGUCAAGGAUGGUCAAGGUUUUCUGACCAUACGCAAGUGUUGUCACUUGAUAACUAGAUCACGUCAUUAGGAGAAUCAUGUGAUGGACUAGACCCAAACUAUAAACAUAGCAUGUGAUCGUGUUAUUUUGUUGCUAUUGUUUUCUGCGUGUCAAGUAUUUGUUCCUAUGACCAUGAGAUCAUAUAACUCACUCACACCGGAGGAAUACCUUGUGUGUAUCAAACGUCGCAACGUGACUGGGUGACUAUAAAGGUGCUCUACAGGUAUCUCCAUAGGUGUCCGUUGAGUUAGUAUGGAUCAAGACUGGGAUUUGUCACUCCGUGUGACGAAGAGGUAUAUCUCGGGGCCCACUCGGUAAUACAACAUCACAAACAAGACUUGCAAGCAAUGUGACUAAGUGUAAGUCACAGGAUCUUGUGUUACGGAACGAGUAAAGAGACUUGCCAAUAACGAGAUUGAAAUAGGUAUACGGAUACCGACUAUCGAAUCUCGGGCAAGUAACAUACCGAAGGACAAAGGGAAUGACAUACGGGAUUAUACGAAUCCUUGGCACUGAGGUUCAAACGAUAAGAUCUUCGUAGAAUAUGUAGGAUCCAAUAUGGGCAUCCAGUUCCCGCUAUUGGAUAUUGACCGAGGAGUCUCUCGGGUCACCGAUAAGAUCUUCGGAGAAUAUGUAGGAUCCAAUAUGGGCGUCCAGGUCCCGCUAUUGGAUAUUGACCGAGGAGUGUCUCGAGUCAUGUCUACAUAGUUCUCGAACCCGCAGGGUCUGCACACUUAAGGUUCGAUGAUGUUUUAGUAUAGUUGAGUUAUAUAUGUGUGGUUAUCGAAUGUUGUUCGGAGUCCCGGAUGAGAUCACCGACGUCACGAGGGUUUCCAUAAUGGUCCGAAAACGAAGAUUGAUAUAUAGGAUGGUUUCAUUUGGUCACCGGAAAGUUUCGGGCAUUACCGGCAGUGUACCGGGAGUGACGAAUGGGUUCCGGGUAUUCACCGGGAGGGGCCAACCCACCCGGGAGUGAGCUGGUGAGGCCAGCCCAAUAGGGCCAUGGCAUCACAAGUGGAAAAACACCAAAGGAAAAAAAAGAGGAAAGAGGGAGGUGGGAAGGAAGGAGUGAACUCCUCCCCCCAAACCGAAUUGGCGUGGGAGUCCACCUCCUCCCUUCGGCCGGCGCACCUUGGCGCUCUUUGAGCCCCAAGGCUAGCCCCUCCCCUCCUCCUAUAUAUACUGGUGGUUUUAGGGCUUUUGAGACACAACUUUUCCACGUGCAACUCAAACAUAUACCGCGUAGUUUUACCUCUAGAUCGGAUUUCUACGGAGCUCGGGCGGAGGCGUGCAGGAGUAGACCAUCACCAUCACUGGAGCACUGUCACGCUGCCGGGGAACUCAUUUACUUCUCCGCCUCUCUUGCUGGAUCAAGAAGGCCGAGAUCGUCAUCGAGGUGUACGUGCGUUGAGCACGGAGGUGUCGUCCGUUCGGCGCUAGAUCGGAACGGAUCGUGGGACGAUGGUGAUUUGAAUCAUGAAGUUGUACCACUACAUCAACCGCAUUUCUUAAUGCUUCCCGCUUAGAGAUCUACAAGGGUACGUAGAUCUAAUCUCCUCUCGUAGAUGGACAUCACCAUGAUAGGUCUUCGUGUGCGUAGGGAUUUUUUUGUUUCCCAUGUAACGUUCCCCAACAGUGGCAUCAUGAGCUAGGUUCAUGCGUAGAUGUUAUCUCGAGUAGAACACAAAAGGUUUUGUGGGCGUUGAUGUUCGAUUUGCUGCCCUCCUUACUCUUUUCUCGAUUCAGCGGUAUUGUUGGAUUGAAGCGGCCCAGACCGACAUUACUCGUACGCUUACGAGAGACUGGUUUCAUCGACUAACAUGCAACUUGUUGCAUAAAGAUGACUGGCGGGUGCCUGUUUCUUCAACUUUAGUUGAAUUGGUUUUGACCGAGGCAGUCCUUGGAGAGAGGUUAAAUAGCAAUUUGCACAUCUCCGUUGUAGUUUUUGUGUAAGUAAGAUGCGAUCAUACUAGAUACCCAUAGCAGCCACGUAAAACAUGCAACAACAAAUUAGAGGACGUCUAACUUGUUUUUGCAGGGUAUGCUUGUGAUAUGAUAUGGCCAAUGACGUGAUGUGAUAUAUUGGAUGUAUGAGAUGAUCAUGUUGUAAUAGUUAAUACCGACUUGCACGUCGAUGCUAGGGCAACCGGCAUGAGCCAUAGGGUUGUCUUUAAACUAACGUUUGUGUUUGCAUAUGUGUUUACUAUAUUGCUAGGUCGUAGUUUUAGUAGUAAUAGCAUAGAUAUCACGACAACCUCGAUGGCGGCACGAUGAUGGAGAUCAUGAUGAUGGAGAUCAUGGUGUGGCUUCGGUGACAAGAAGAUCAUGCCGGUGCUUUGGUGAUGGAGAUCAAGAAGCACAAGAUGAUGGCCAUAUCAUGUCACUUAUAAAUUGCAUGUGAUGUUAAUCCUUUUAUGCACCUUAUUUUGCUUGGAACGGCGGUAGCAUUAUAAGGUGAUCUCUCACUAAAAUUUCAAGAUGAAAUUGUGUUCUCCCCGACUAUGCACCGUUGCGACAGUUCGUCGUUUCGUGACACCACGUGACGAUCGGGUGUGAUAGACUCAACGUUCACAUACAAUGGGGUGCAAAACAGUUGCACACGCAGAACACUCGGGUUAAACUUGAUGAGCCUAGCAUGUGCAGACAUGGCCUCGAAACACAUGAGACCGAAAGGUCGAGCAGGAAUCGUAUAGUUGAUAUGAUUAGCAUAGAGAUGCUUACCACUGAAACUAUUCUCAACUCACGUGAUGAUCGGACUUGAGUUAGUGAAUUUGGAUCAUGUACCACUCAAAUGACUAGAGAGAUGUACUGUUUGAGUGGGAGUUUAUUAGUAAUUUGAUUAGUUAAACUCUAAUUAUCUUAAACGCAGUAGCAACCCUGAAUUUUAAUACAUUCCUAGAGAAAGUUAAGUUGAAAGAUGAUGGAAGCAACUUUGUAGACUGGGCUCGUAAUCUAAAGCUGCUCCUGCAAGCUGGGAAGAAGGAUUAUGGCCUUAAUGCUGCGCUAGGAGAUGAACCACCCGCCGCGGCUGGCCAAGAUGUUAAGAACGCCUGGUUAUCACGCAAGGAGGACUACUCAGUAGUUCAAUGUGCAGUUUUGUAUGGCUUAGAGGCGGGACUUCAAUGUCGCUUUUAGCGUCAUGGAGCAUUUGAGAUGUUCCAGGAGUUGAAGUUUAUCUUUCAGAAGAAUGCCCGGAUCGAGAGGUAUGAGACCUCCGAUAAAUUCUAUGCUUGCAAGAUGGAGGAGAAUUCAUUUGUAAGUGAACAUGUGCUCAAAAUGUGUGGGUACUCAAACCGUCUAGUUGAGUUGGGGAUCGAACUCCUGCAAGAGGCUAUCAUUGACAGAAUUCUUCAAUCAUUUCCACCAAGCUACAAGAGCUUCGUGUUGAACUAUAACAUGCAAGGGAUGAACAAGUCACCCGACGAGUUAUUCGCGAUGCUGAAAGUCGUAGAGUCAGAACUCCGGAAAGAGCAUCAAGUGUUGAUGGUGAAUAAGACCACUAGUUUCAAGAGNNNNNNNNNNNNNNNNNNNNNNNNNNNNNNNNNNNNNNNNNNNNNNNNNNNNNNNNNNNNNNNNNNNNNNNNNNNNNNNNNNNNNNNNNNNNNNNNNNNNGGAGAGGAUCUGCACAACCGUGCCUCGUCUCGCCGUGCCGCCCUAUCGUGUCGUGCCCAGCCACGCUCACCCUGCCUCUUCUCGCAUCCGUCGUGUUGUCUCCGCUUGCUGUGCCGAGCCGCUUAUGAGAAAGGCCACUGAAAGGCGCAAACAGAGGUCAAGACGCCCCAGCUUUUCACACCGGCUGAUGAGGGUAAUGACCGGAGCAACUUCCAGCGAUUCUUUGCAAUAGAUGCCUCGGCACAUUUCAAUCCUCACCGCCGUGGCUGUCUGGUAGUUUGUGACGAUGAUGAACGACGACCCGGGAGGAGGAAGGCCGCCUUUGUAGUGCAGCGACCUGAGCCAAAGUGGUGUGCAGCUCCACGCCGGUGGCAUUGUGGCAGCAGAUCAUGACGAACCUGCGUACGCAGGGGCUGGUCACCGCGAGCUCCUUGACGCUCGCGCACUCCUCCAGCGUCAGGUCGGCGAGGCGCGGGCAGCUCGAGAGCAGCUGCUGCAACAUCCCAUCUCGGGUCGUGACUAUCGCGAGGUGGAGCGUCUCCAGGGACACCAUGUCCAUGGUGCGUCGCAGGUCGAGCUCCCACCAAGCCAGGCACAGGCGGCGGAGUGUACGCUAGCUCAAGGUUUGGUUGGCGUCCCGAUGUACCUCUAGGGUUCGUCUCGGUCCAGCGAUCCGUGGAACGGGCAGAGCAGGAGCAGGGCGGAAUUACCGUACCUGAGCUUGUCGUCAAGGUCCUCGAGGCAAUCCAAGCCUGUCUGUAAUCUCCAUUAGACAAUGCAUUUUUAUCUUGAAACUAUGGUGAUUGCAAUCAUAGCUUGGUCAAAACCAACUGUUAAAAUGAAACAAUACAUGCUGAGUUGAUAGAAAAAAACCCUAUAAUAAACAAAUCCUACUGAUAAAAAAUGAUGCAUUCAUGGCGGUGGUGGCAACAAUGCGUCUAUAGAUGCACACAACAAAUAUUUUGUUUGCAAUUUUACUGUUAUUCUGUUUUUCGGUUGGACCUAGAAUGUGAUGGCACAAGAGGGAAUUGGGAAUUGGGAAGUCAUAUUAACUAGAUAUGACAAUAUACUACAACCACCCCCAUAUACUUUGUCUGGAUAUUAUAGUCAUAAAAUGAUUCGCUUCACCUAGCCAAUUGGUCUAUCUAAAUAUCAAGCCACUCCUUUGAUCUCUCAUCUCUCUCAUUGCUUACCGAUCCAACCACUCAAAUUCGAAGAUACGUUUUGGGAGAGGUUUGACUAUGAGGAAUCUUUUAAAUCACAAGUGCAAGGAAUUCACUACCAAGCAACCUCAUCUAGAUUGGCUAGGUGUGGUUGUCAGCCUUCAACGUGUGACGGAACCAAGGAGUUUGUAUGGACUUGGAGAUCGCACAUGUCAUGAAGAUCUAACUCAGGGGAGGCAACCGAGAGCAAUACAGUACACACUUAAUUACCUCCCAGCGGUCGGUCCCCCUUCCAGCGCGCGGCUCGCGCUAGCGCAGGACCGCCGCUGCCGCCGGCUGAUCUCCCUCCUCCGUCCACCUCCGGCCCAGCCAAUUGCAGAUCCGGAACCCCGCCAGCGUCCUCUCUCCAUCCAUCCCGAAGCCCGGCGCCGUCUUCACCGGCUCUCUCCUCGCGGCGGAUUUCGAGUCGGGGUCUCCCCUCUUCCUGCCCCGCUCCCGUGCGGCCGCGCCGGGCCGCACCGGGGCGCCCCUGCGGGCUCGAGCCGGUCCCUCCACGCCUCUCUCUCCGCUCGCCGCCGCCGGAGGCGUCGUCGGG